rnacentral:rRNA from 2 species
UGGGGAAUCUUGCGCAAUGCGCGAAAGCGUGACGCAGCAACGCCGCGUGGGGGAAGAAUGCCGUCGGGUUGUAAACCCCUUUCAGUUGGGACGAAGCUUCGACGGUGAACAGCCGGCUGGAGUGACGGUACCUUCAGAAGAAGCCCCGGCUAACUCCGUGCCAGCAGCCGCGGGAAUACGUAGGGGGCAAGCGUUGUCCGGAAUCAUUGGGCGUAAAGCGCGUGUAGGCGGUUCGAUAAGUCUGCUGUGAAAGUCCAGGGCUCAACCCUGGGAUGCCGGUGGAUACUGUCGGACUAGAGUGCGGAAGAGGCGAGUGGAAUUCCCGGUGUAGCGGUGAAAUGCGCAGAUAUCGGGAGGAACACCAAUUGCGAAGGCAGCUCGCUGGGACGUUACUGACGCUGAGACGCGAAAGCGUGGGGAGCAAACAGG